AAUAAGGAAAGUUUAAAACUCGAUGACUAGCAUUGAUAAUAUGGGCCUUGACUUUGAUAUGCACUUCUAAUCUUGGACUGUGUGUUUUGGGGCCUAUCUGAUGAGAUCUGUUUGGAGCAGCUCACACUGGAAGCAGGACAUGAAAUCCAGCAUGAAAUCCACCAACCCAAAUUUGAUCCCACGGCUGACUCCAAAAUCCAGUUUUAUAACUCUGCAAGACUAUGGCAAUAACAGUCUUCUUUGCAGUAAAUAUGUAUUGCUAUCUAUAUUGUAAACUGUAAUAUUUCUUUUUGUUCUGGGCCUACAUUAGAUAGGUAGUAAAUAUUUAAUAAUUUUGUUACCUAUCUUGUAGACUCAUGUUACACUGAUUUUAUA